UUAAUUUUACAACUUUUUCGUAAAUAAAUUCUCACACGAAUCCCCGAAGUAAAAUAUACUUUAAUUUAAUCAUUAUAAUUUCUGCAUUUAAAUCAGAGAAUUACCCAUCUUUUUCCUUGCAGAUUGCCACACCUGUUCCUGGGCUUUGUGCUUUGUUGAACUUUGUAUAUAUACAUAUUGGAUGUAUCCACAUACUCUUAUAGUGACCACUGGAAGGCAUUCUUGAACGCAAACUCUGGGUUAUCAUAGAGAACAAAAACCUUUUCUCUGGCCACGAUGCCAACAUGCGGCGGCUUGAGGAGUAGUCUUGGGAUCUUCCUACGUAAAGGAACCUCGAAGAAAGCAGUUUUAAGAUACUAGAACAAGGGUAUCGGUCACAAAAAGGCGUGGAACAUCGCCUGCAUGGUCCAGAAUGUGCUAAUGUCAAUAGAACAGAGCUGGAUGACAAUCUAAAAUAUGAAAAAUGUAUAUUGCAAGAAACAAAAAUAUAAGUUAAAACUUGUAAUACUUUAGAACUAAAUCCGUUUGUAAAUUGAAAACUUAUUUUGAGUGCAUUUCUAGCUCUUUUAUCAUCGUCGCCUGCUAUUCCGAUCACAAUACGUCACGACCAGAUCGGCCCACAAAUCUUUAUUUGCAGACGUACAUAUCUGUAAGUUUGGAGAUAUACAGUCAUGAAAAAUAAUAGAAACGGCAUUUACGGUAUUUCUAUAUAUUUGAAUUUUUACGGUGAUAAGAUGUUUUAGAGGUGAUUUUUACAAGAUUUUACAAGCCAAAAACUGCUGGAAAUCGUGGCAUCCUUUUGUGGCUGUGCUAACUCUUUCAAAAAACAUCAGGCAGUCUUUUGGGCUGACUAACAUGACCUUGUUUUGAAAGGUGGGUGUUGCCGAAAAGGCAAUAUCCUUAAUUGUCCCUAAGGAUCUGGGAUACUCUCUCGAUCCUAAGGAGCCGUGGCACGCCCUGAUCGGACUUAAAAUGACGGACUUUCGACGAUGGUUAAAUCCAUCAUGAUUUAAUUAUUUACAAUGCCAAAAGAUCAGACGCUAUAUCUCGGCCAAGUAGGCCCAGAUCGGUGAAGGACCUAAGUCCUCGUCCUGUCCUGGCUGUCUUGCUGCGGGCCAUAGCCAUGAUGCCGCUGCUGUAUCGUUGAGUCAAUAAUGUGGCGUUGGCGUCGUUUCCACUGCAGCAGGGGCCAGUGAUGGAUGGUGGUCUGGUUGAUUCAAGUCCACGGGAAAUAUCAGUACCCCCUCAUUCGUACGUCGCCGAAUCAAACGCUGGACCUUUGCUUUAAGACGCAGAACUUAUGUACCCUACGCUUUCCUCCGCCAGACGGAGUCCUGUCUAAGCAUUACCGAGGCGCAUUCGAGACAGACCGAGGCCUAUUCCAGCCAGAGAGAAUCGUAACCCAGCAGAACAGAACCGCACCCUUUUCAAGAUCCGAACAUAACAAGUCAUCGUCAUCCUUCGACCUGGCCAUCGACAACUAUCUCAAGGACUUUGGCUAUGGCAACCAAGACAGAAACUACGUGGACUUCUAGACUCUAGAUAUGUAUAUCACGUAGUUGUUAGGUUUAAGGAUAUGCAUUUAGA
rnacentral:misc_RNA from 1 species